GAUGAACGCUAGCGAUAGGCUUAACACAUGCAAGUCGAGGGGCAGCACAAGGUAGCUUGCUAUCUGGGUGGCGACCGGCGCACGGGUGCGUAACGCGUAUGCAACUUGCCCUAUACAGGAGGAUAACCCGUCGAAAGACGGACUAAUACUGCGUAUGCUCACAACUUGGCAUCAAGUGGUGAGGAAAGAAAUUCGGUAUAGGAUAGCCAUGCGUCCCAUUAGCUUGUUGGUGAGGUAACGGCUCACCAAGGCAACGAUGGGUAGGGGAACUGAGAGGUUUAUCCCCCACACUGGUACUGAGACACGGACCAGACUCCUACGGGAGGCAGCAGUGAGGAAUAUUGGUCAAUGGGCGCGAGCCUGAACCAGCCAAGUCGCGUGAAGGAUGACUGUCUUAUGGAUUGUAAACUUCUUUUAUACGGGAAUAACAAGAGUCACGUGUGACUCCCUGCAUGUACCGUAUGAAUAAGCAGCGGCUAACUCCGUG
rnacentral:rRNA from 1 species